AAACUCAAAUGAAUUGACGGGGGCCCGCACAAGCGGUGGAGCAUGUGGUUUAAUUCGAUGCAACGCGAAGAACCUUACCUACUCUUGACAUCCAGAGAACUUAGCAGAGAUGCUUUGGUGCCUUCGGGAACUCUGAGACAGGUGCUGCAUGGCUGUCGUCAGCUCGUGUUGUGAAAUGUUUAGUUAAGUCCCGCAACGAGCGCAACCCUUAUCCUUUGUUGCCAGCGGUCCGGCCGGGAACUCAAAGGAGACUGCCAGUGAUAAACUGGAGGAAGGUGGGGAUGACGUCAAGUCAUCAUGGCCCUUACGAGUAGGGCUACACACGUGCUACAAUGGCGCAUACAAAGAGAAGCGACCUCGCGAGAGCAAGCGGACCUCAUAAAGUGCGUCGUAGUCCGGAUUGGAGUCUGCAACUCGACUCCAUGAAGUCGGAAUCGCUAGUAAUCGUAGAUCAGAAUGCUACGGUGAAUACGUUCCCGGGCCUUGUACACACCGCCCGUC
rnacentral:rRNA from 1 species